rnacentral:rRNA from 1 species
CAGCCGCCACGGGAAUACGAAGGGGGCUAGCGUUGUUCAGAUUUACUGGGCGUAAAGGGCGCGUAGGCGGACUGAUAAGUCAGGGGUGAAAUCCCAAGGCUCAACCUUGGAACUGCCUUUGAUACUGUUUGUCUUGAGUUCGAGAGAGGUAAGUGGAACUGCGAGUGUAGAGGUGAAAUUCGUAGAUAUUCGCAAGAACACCAGUGGCGAAGGCGGCUUACUGGCUCGAAACUGACGCUGAGGCGCGAAAGCGUGGGGAGCAAACAGGAUUAGAUACCCCUGUAGUCCCUGUCUCUUAUAU